UACGGAGGGUGCAAGCGUUAUCCGGAUUCACUGGGUUUAAAGGGUGCGUAGGUGGCUUGGUAAGUUCGAUGUGAAAUCUCCGGGCUUAACCCGGAAAUGGCAUUGAAUACUAUUGAGCUGGAGGUUUGGAGGGGGGACUGGAAUUCUCGGUGUAGCAGUGAAAUGCGUAGAUAUCGAGAGGAACACCAGUGGCGAAGGCGAGUCCCUGGACAACACCUGACACUGAGGCACGAAAGCUAGGGGAGCAAACAGG
rnacentral:rRNA from 1 species